AACGAACGCUGGCGGCAUGCCUAACACAUGCAAGUCGAACGAGACCUUCGGGUCUAGUGGCGCACGGGUGCGUAACGCGUGGGAACCUGCCCUUAGGUUCGGAAUAACUCCCCGAAAGGGGUGCUAAUACCGGAUAAUGUCUUCGGACCAAAGAUUUAUCGCCUUUAGAUGGGCCCGCGUUGGAUUAGCUAGUUGGUAGGGUAAAAGCCUACCAAGGCGACGAUCCAUAGCUGGUCUGAGAGGAUGAUCAGCCACACUGGGACUGAGACACGGCCCAGACUCCUACGGGAGGCAGCAGUGGGGAAUAUUGGACAAUGGGCGAAAGCCUGAUCCAGCAAUGCCGCGUGAGUGAUGAAGGCCUUAGGGUUGUAAAGCUCUUUUACCCGGGAUGAUAAUGACAGUACCGGGAGAAUAAGCUCCGGCUAACUCCGUG
rnacentral:rRNA from 1 species